GAAGAAGAAGGAGGCGGCGGCGGCAGGGGGAGGGGAGAAAGGGAGGGAGGGGACCGGCGCAGCCACAUCGUCAGGCCGCCGGGCCCAGCCCGCAGCCGCCCGAGCGCGGUGGAGGAGACAGAGGGGAGGGUGCAGACCCUUGGCGCCUUACCGGAGCGCUGCACCGCCGCGUCCGCAGGGCCUCUUCCGUCCUUCACUCCCAUCCACCGGCGGGGGAAGGGGGAGGGAGAGGGAAGGGAGGAAGGAGGGAGGGAGGGAAGGAGGGAGGGGAGGAUGGCGCGCUGGGCCCGGUCCUCGGGAGGGGGAGGGGAGGGAAGCGGGCGGGCUCUUCAGCCGUUCCGGGGCUCGAGCCCAAGCCCAGCGCUCGCGGUUUCUGUUGCUCGCGCCCGAGCGCUUCCUUCCUGCCCUUUCUCGUUCUCUAGACCCUCGGGCCGCUGUUCAAUCGCUCCCUCACUCGCUAUCUCGGCCGUCGGACUCCGCCGCCGCCCCGCCGCUCCAGCUCCGUCUGUCACAGGAGCUGCCCCAGCGCCCUGACGUCACCGCGCCGCCGCCGCCCCAGACCCGCCAGGAAGAGGGAGGGGAGCGGAGGAGGGGCUGCGGCGCAUGCGCGGGCGCGGCUGGGCCCCUGAGUCGCCGUCUUCGUCCUGGCGAGCGGGCGAUCGCGGCCAGUGCUACUUGGCGGUACGGAGUGGCCGGUGGGCGAGCGUGCGCACGAGGCCCUGCUUUUCACGUCCCUCGUGCCGCUAUAACCUUGGAAGAGCCCCUUUUUUCCUCGACUCUGUUGUGUCCCCUCACGAACUCUGGUCCCACUCACCUAACCGCCCCGCUUUUGCCCCACUGCAUGCUGCGCUCUCUCCGCUUCCCCGGCGGACAGCGGGGACCAGUCGGCGCCCCUGCAUCCCGGCCCCGAUCUUUAAUUGGGAGGAUUCGCUUUUAGAUGUGAUUCAGCUGUUAUUUUCCUUAGUCACACACCACGCAUCAGAGACUCUAGAAGUCUCGAAACUGACUCCCAAAGAAAGACCUGGAACUUUAUCCCUACAAGGAAUAUCGGCGAUUGUGGGUGAUCAUCUCCUGGAAGCAAGAAGUCAUGGAGGAGAACUCUUCUGCAGGAUAGGAGGAGAAAAAGGGUCUCUGUAUGUAGCCAAGUUGGCCUCAAACUCACCAGGAUUCUUCUGCCUCAGCCUCCCAAGUGACGGGAUUACAGGUUCUUGAGUGCUGGGAUUAACAGGCAUGUGCCACCGUGUCCAGCCUAUGAUGAACAUUUCUGAACAUAAUUUUUUGUUACAUUGUGCUGCUUACUUCCUUAAGAUAGAACCCCAAAAUUAGGGUUACUAGGCCAAAAGAUAAGGUCUUUUAAUUUGUUUAUUUGUUUGUACUGGGAAUUGAACCCAGGGCCUUCACACUGUGCUACAUCUCUGGUUUGUUUGUUUGUUUAUUUAUUUAUUUAUUUACAUAUAAAUUUUGAAACUAGAUCUCACUAAGUUGAUAGACAGCUCAAGAUGAGCUCAAAUUUGCAAUCCUCCUGCCUCAACCUCUCAGAGGGCUGGGUUUAUAGUCAUGCUCAACCAUACCCAGCCCUUUCUUCUUUUUAAAUCGACUACCUCGGGUUUUUUGGGUUUGUUUUGUUUUGGUUUUUUAUUUUUUUGAGACAGGGUCUCACUAUGUAGCCCAGGCUGGCCUCCAACUCAUGACGAUCCUCCUGCCUCAGCCUCCCAGGUGCUAGGAUUACAGGCAUGUACCACCAUACCCAGCUUAUCUCAGGUAUUUUGUCACAGUGAUGGAAAGCUGACUAACACAACUGUGAUGAAAUGGCACACCUGGAUUUGAGCAACAAUGAUACAGUAGAAGGAGGAUUUAUACUAUCUGGAUUUGAACAUCAAUGUAAUCUGAAUUUUGUUAUAAGGUGAAUGUAUUCUUACACUCUCUGGGCCAGUUGAAGCCAGAGCUGCAGGCAGUUCUAGCCCAUGAGAACUGCCAAUAUCAUAAAAUGGGCCACACAGGGAAACACUGCAGAGGUGCAGUGGCACAUGCUGAAGCAGAGGGAUUACAAAUUUAAGACCAGCCUAGUCAACUGAGACUCUCAAAAUACAUAAAAAGGGCUGACAAUGUAGCUCAGUGGUAGAGUGCUUACCUAGCAUGCACAAGACCUUCAGUUCAAUCCCCCUACUGGGGGGAGAAAAGUUAAAAAAAAAAACCAAACAAAUAAUCUCAUGGAUUGUACACUCUAGAUCUAGUUAUUCUGAAACUAUUUCCAUACUUUGUUCUUUAUAAGAUUUAGAAAUAUGAGCUACUAAAACAAAAAAGAAAAAGAAAAAGUAUGAGCUACUAAAUUUAACCCCACUCCCCUCCACUAGUUUUUUAGGUUUGUUUGUUUAUUUGUUUGGGGUUUUUUGAGACUAUGUCUUGCCCUGUAGUCCUGGAUGGCCUUGAACUUUCGACAGUCCUCCUGCCUCAGCCUCCAGAGUGCUGGGAUUACAGGCUUGCAUUUGGCUAGUUUUUCUUAAAGUAGUUUGAAUUUGACUUGCAAUAGAAAGAAUCUUGGCCUAUAUUUAGGCAUGGAAGUAGGAAAAGAUAUCAGAUAUUAGAAUAAAUUUAUAUAAAAUAGUAUUUUAGCUGGUCAUAGUGGUGCACAUCUUUAGUCCCUCCUACUGGAGAGCCAGAGGCAAGAUCACUUGAGAUCAAGAGUUUGAGAUCAGCCUAGGCAACAUAGUAAAACCUUAUUUCAGGAAAACAAACAGUCCCACAAGGUGGCAUACACCUGUAAUACCAGCACUCAAGAGGCUAAUGCAAGAGGGUCACUGCAAGUUUGAGCCCAGCGUGUGCUACAUAGUGAGUUUAAGGCCAGCCUGGACUACAUAACAAGACCCUGUCUCUAAAAACCAAAGGGGAUGGGGGAAAGAAAAACAAACAAAACAAAAUAAAGAAAUAAAAUAGCAUUAAAAAUAUGAACCACUGGCCAUGGUGGCAUAUGCCUGUAAUCCUAGCACUUGGGAGGUUGAGGCAGGAUUGUCAUGAGUUCAAGGUCAGCCUGGGUUACAUAAUGAGUUCACAGCCAGCCUGAACUAUAGAGUGAGACUCUAUCUCAAAAAUAAAUGAAUAAACCAAUACCAUGUAGAAGUAUAGUUUGAAAUUACUAAAUAUACUGUCAAAAAGCAAGCUAUAGAAUGGAAAGAAAUUUUUAUAUGCAAGUGAUAUGUAGGAUAUAUAAAAAAGUACAACAGCAAAUAAUUUAAUAACUUGAUUUGAAAAUGACCAAAAGAUUUCAGCCUUCCAAAAAUGAUACACAAAUGGCCAAGAAGUAUAUGAGAUAGGAAACAGGGACAUAGCUCUUUUACAAAUGGGAAGGGGACCGAGAGAUGAAGGAAAGGGUGUGGGGGGAAGGGGACAUAAAAAGAAUGAAGAAUUAAAAUGUGUUACAUACAUGUACCAACUUCCCAUGAUGAAUGUAAUCAUUAUGUACUGCAAACGUACUAAUAAAAAUUAAAAAUUUUAUAAAGAAGCAUAUGAAUAGAUAGAUAUCACUAAUCAGAAGAGAAAUGCAAAUUAAAACCAGAUGCUACUUCACACCCAUUAUGAUGGCUACUGUGGAAGGAAAAAGGAAAGAGGAAGGAAGGGAGAGGGGCAGGGAAGAAGAAAAGAGAUCUGUCUUGUGUUCCCUAUCAUGAAUGUAUCACCUUGUAUUUAACCAUUCCCUACUGAUAAAUUUUAAAUUGUUUUAGUUUUUUUUCUAUUAAAAAAUCUCAAUAAAUAUUAUCAUUCAAUGAA
rnacentral:lncRNA from 1 species